rnacentral:tRNA from 1 species
CGGGGUGUAGCGCAGUUCGGUAGCGCACCGCGUUUGGGACGCGGGGGUCGGCGGUUCGAGUCCGCCCGCCCCGACCA